CACGCAGAGCUGGGUGACCGGCGGGGACGUCGCGUACCGGCGGGUGCUCGGUCGGUGCCAGGCGCUGCCCCGGGCUUCCCGAGUGCUCCGGAGCCGUGUUUAUCCAGCGCUGUUGACACAGGCUGUGUCGUGUCCCCAUGGAUCAUCAGCAGCAGCUGGUGGUUGACCUGUGUGGGGACGGCGGCGCUUGGGGACAGCGGGCUGCUGAUGCCUGAAGGUUUCUCCGGGGAUUAGAGCAUCUGCUAAAGCAUGUACUAAAAAUAGAAGGGAUCCUGGUACUGGUUUUACCCUGCAGGGAAGGCACCCAAAGACACAUCAAGCUUAGGGUAAGAGGGGUGGAAGAAAGGUGCUGGCCCUGCUAAGGGACAGAGAAGCUCCCAGAGCCCAGGGGAGGGGGAGGUAAGCUUUAAAAAAGAAAGCAAGCCUGGAGAACUCCUGAGGCCAAAGAAAGGUUGUGAAGGUACGGAAACUGAGCCAGGGAAAUGGCGUGUCGGGUUAUUAUCUUUAUCAACGUCUGUGUGCUUUCCCGAUUCGAGGAAAAACAGGAUUCUAGGUUGUGGUCUCACAGGUACUGCAAGAAGAACUGAAUCCACGUCAGCACUGAGGGCAAUGCCCCCUUCUCCCAGCGACAGGAAAAGCGACGUGCUUUCAGCUUGGCCGGGAGCAGGGCACGGGGCGAGCACCCAGGGCUGGUGCUGGCACAGGGGACGAUGCGGUGUGACCGGGCUGGCCAGACCCUGCCCCUGCGAACCGCAUUCAUGUCAGCAGAAACCAGCACGAGUUACCCACAGGGUCAAGAGAAACCCGGCUGUGGUACUAACUGGUGCUAACAGGAGGGGUGCGUCCUAUGUUCUGCGUUGUUCCUCAGCCUGAGCUUCCCAUGGUUUAUGGGAAAUGGUUUCCUUAUCCCAGUGAUGUCUUGGCAUCUCGAGCUUUUUCUUGAUCCAAAAUAAGGGUAAAAGAUCUGUAGAAUAUUGAAGUUCAAACAAAUAAAGUGAUGAUGCCAAAUAUGUUGCAUUUUCAUGUCGUGCUGUAAGGCAGUAGGAGUAUAAAUUUGGGUCUGAAAAAAUAGCAGUGGUGGUUAAAAUAUUGUGACCAUUUACAAAUUUUCUAGAGAACUAGUUGAGAAAUCCAGCAAAACUCAUUCUUUCCAGUGGAAAGCCUUCACAUUUCACUGGAUCUGCAUUUUCAAAGAAAAAUAGAUUUUAUCAAAAAUUUCCAACUAGCUGUUCUGCUAACUCAUGUGGAAAUUACCUUGUCUGCAACUAACUUCAAUUACAGCACACUCUUUUUUUUUUUUUUUUUUUUUUCCCCUUUUUCCCUUUCUCUCCAUGGAGACGAGAGCCAGAGCUUCAUCUGCUUCAAGAGCUGAAGAAUUUCCUGGUCACUGGCUGGCAGCUAUCGCUCCUCGAGCUGCCCCUGCCUGGCAGGGCAGGGAGAGCACUCCUCAUCCUCUGGCUUUAGACAGAGCAUAGGUUAGCCUAAAUCUCCCAACUCUGUUAUAAGCUCCUGCCCUGGGUUUCACCUGACCAAAGAGCUCAGGUAAGUCCACUUCCAUGCACAGAGAGCAGCAGAACAGCUGCUGAAGGUAUUUGUUUCUUUUAAUUUUUGCUGAUAUUGCUGUAAUAUGCAUUCCCAAAUGCAGCUGAUCUCAUAAACCACUGUCGUCUUACCAUAGCCUGGCUCCCCACGGCUGGAUGCCUUUUACGUGCUCCUAGCUAAUGCGGCAUUUGCUCUGCGGCUUUGGGAUGGGACAGGAGGCUGGUGGCAGCGGCUCAUCCCCAUGUGUCACCUCCAGGACAUCAGCCUUUGUGUCCCUCCCGUUCGUAGGGCUGUGCCACCACUGCUUUCCAUUAUCACUCACUGCCACAGCCUCUUCUGCAUGACUCAACAAAACUCCCCUGACAGCUAUUUCUAGCCUAGUUAGUGAGGUCGGGCGUGUUAUUCAUGACACUUUCUUCCUCUCUGGUGGGGCUCCAGCCAGGCUGGGACCUGCCACCAGCUCUCCAGCAUGCAGACCUUCAGCCAGAGGAGACUCUGGCAGGGGACAGAAGGGAAACGCAGCUCCCAGCAUCUCCCCUGCCUUGCAAAGUCCCGUACUGCCUUCGGCAGCAUCGCUUGCCCGGGUUGUCCCGAGCUGCUGGGGAGGGGGUGCAGAUGCCGACACAUGUUCUGCAGCUGGAUCCCCUCAAUCCAGCUGUUCCGGGGCCCUGGGGACAGGGCUUGCUGCAAAGCCUGCUCUGGGCUGCCUUGGCGUGUGCUGCCUGCAAGAGGACAUUGCUACGGCUGCAGGCAGCCCUGGUCACGGCAGCACGUGAAGUGCCACCAGGUGCUCUGUCUCCUUACAGCUUGAACCCACGAGCAGGUGUAGACCCACGGUCCCAGCUUUGGGGCACUGGAAGGCAGCAUCGUGCGUAAGCGGCUCUGGAGGAGAUCGGCUGGUAGGAGCGAGUCCUUGCCAGUCCCCAUCACCCCCAGCCUGCUUCUCAGUAUCCGUCCUGUGGUGAGGUCACCGACUCCACCGCUACCUCGGAAAGAGGAAGGUGGACGGUUUCGCUAAAGGAAAGCAGCCCUCUGCAGCAGGACAGUCCCCUGCCACCCAGGGUGACCCUCACCAGCAUCCCCAGCACUCCGGAGGGGACGGGAUGCUCCCGGGCGCCCGCCUGCAGCAGGGAUCUCGUCCACAACCUCUGGGACGGGAUGGAAGCUGGCCAGGGAGCAGGACCUGCCUCCUCGCCGAGACGUCAGUGCCACAUGACAGCGUGCCACAGCCACCUGCGUCACCACAACCCGGCGCUGUCACAGCCUCCCAGGCAAAAGGAUGUGGCUCCUCACGCGGUCGGUCAGUCGAAGGAUUAGCAUCUCCAGCAGAGCCUGUGUUCCCACUGAAACCUCCUCAUCCCUCAGCAGAGAUGUGGCAAUGGGACAAUUUGGAGCAAAAACCAGCAAAGCAGCUCUUCCUGGCAGGCUGGAUGCAGGACACCUGCUGCAAAGGAGUCCAGGGCAGAGUGUAACUGGGAGGGACUGGAAGCCACUGGAGGCCCUGUGUCCCUCUGGCUGGUGUCUGAAGAAGGAGGUGUCUUGUUAGACAUGCCCAGCACACAGGAUUGCCUUUGCUUGGCAAUUCCUGCCUUGCACAUGCUUGGUGAACCGCUGCCCUCCCUCUGCCCACUGAGCACAUGAUGCCCAAAAAAGCACCCAGGCACCUCCCAACACUGACAAAAGCAGCUUUUCCUGGUCAAAAAAUUCCUAAUCCCUCCAGAAGCUGUUCAGAUUUCCCCGCAAUGUCCCCCUCUGGCCCAAGGCAUUUCCCCAUUCCCCAAGGCUGAAAAGGGAACUUACAGAGAAUAUGAUUUCAUAACAUCAAAAUCCUCGGGGUUAGAGUGAAAGGAGCGCUUGGGCUAGCAUGAGGGAGAAGUGUGGACACUGUAUCUGAUCUGGGGUCAAGGUAAGAGAAGGAUCUGCAAAAGCCAUGAUUGAGAAGCUGAGAUGUCAAAGAAAUAUCAGGGACUUCCAGAGCACGGUGAGUACCAGCAGAACCGAACUGACUCAAGAAAGGUGAAAGCCAAACCAUGUCGCUGCAGUGAGACGGGUCUGACUUCGGUCUUUUACCAAAGACGAUGGAUAACUUCACGGCAAAGGACCCCAGCUUUACCCCGGGGCCGAAGGAGUCUCGCAGCACCCAGCUGUUGGUCAUACAGCAGGGCCCCAGGCACCCCAGGGUGCUGUCACCCUGUCCCACACAGCACCAGCAUCUGGCCCCAACAGCAGGUGCUGCUUCAUGGGGUUUUUCUACCUCAACCCGCGGGGUCCUGUGAUGUGUAUAAGCAAAAUCCAUCAUGCCGGGGACUUAACAGGGACUCUCCCCCCUUGCAGAGCCCUCGGAGGAAGGGGACCAGGUUCGGAGACUGGGUUCAUCUCUGCCACGUGCCACCUGGGACUGGAGCCAGAGAGAGUUUGAUCUUACAGGGGACGGCAGUACCAGGGCUCAGGUGAGCCCGCUCCUGCAGAACAUCCUUCCCACGGAGGCCGGUGCGUUGCCAGCAGAUCACAUUGCCCCUGCGGACGGAUGAAGUCUGCCCAGAUGCCUGUGCUCGACCUCCCUGCGGGCUCAGUUACAGGGCUGAGUUUUUACAUGCCCAGCAAAGACCCAUAUAUUUGCUUUGUGAUCCAAUGGCUCUCCCGAAGAUGCCAAAAGCGGAGAACACCGCGGCUCCGGCAUCGGGGCCCCUUGUGCCCAGCACCUCUACACCAGCCCUUCGCGGGGCGACGUGCCAGACCCGAUGCCCCCCCCCAACUCCCCAUCGCUCCGAGCCCCUCCGUCCUGCAGCGGGUCAUCUCUUAAUCGCUUCCCAGCGGGCUGACGGAGAGCGGCAGCGGGGUGGCCUGGAACGAAAGCCACCACUGCCGGCUGCUCGCCGGGUUGGUGCCGGACCAGUUCCAGAUGUGUCGGAGGAACCUGGAGGUCAUGCACAGCAUCGUCCGGGCCGCCCACCAGACCAAAAGCGUCUGCCAGAAGACCUUCACGGACAUGAGGUGGAACUGCUCCUCCAUCCAACGUGCCCCCAGCUUUGGCCCUGACCUGCUGAAAGGGACCCGCGAAUCCGCCUUUGUCUACGCCCUGGCUGCUGCCGCCGUCACGCACUCCAUCGCCCAAGCCUGCACCUCGGGAGAACUCCCUCUCUGCUCCUGCGGCUCCGUCCCCUCGGAGGUCCCCGGGCCGGACUUCAGAUGGGGUGGCUGCGGGGACAACCUGCGCUACGGCCUCCAGCUCGGCACCGCUUUUGCUGACAGUCCUUUAAAAUCCAGCAAACUGGGGACACAAGCGCUGAAGGCCAUGAAUCUGCAUAACAACGCAGUGGGCCGGCAGGUGCUGAGUGACUCCCUGGAUACCAAGUGUAAAUGCCAUGGUGUUUCAGGCUCCUGUUCGGUGAAGACCUGUUGGAAGGGACUGCCAAACCUGGAUGAAAUUGCCUCUGACCUCAAGUCCAAGUACCUGGCAGCCAUCAAGGUGACCCACCGGCUUAUAGGGCCCAGGAAGCAGCUGAUACCCAAAGAAAUGGACGUCAGGCCAGUGAAAGAGACGGAUCUGGUUUAUCUCAACAACUCUCCUGACUACUGCACACCGAAUCUCCACCUGGGGUCUCUGGGGACACAGGAUAGGCAGUGCAACAAGACCUCCGUGGGCAGCGAUGGUUGCAACCUGAUGUGCUGUGGCCGCGGCUACAAUGCCUAUACGGAGGAGGUGGUGGAGAGGUGUCACUGCAAGUAUCACUGGUGCUGCUACGUGGUGUGCAAGAAGUGUCGGCGGAAGGUGGAGAGAUAUGUCUGCAAAUAACGCCAGAGGCGUCACGGCAGGCGGGAGGACUCUUGCAUCGGUCUCCUCCGGGGCACAGCUGGAGACCGAACGCCAGCCGCAAGGGAUGCUCUGAGCUACGGCAAGACGGCGGCUAUGCGGGAAGCCUGGGCUCUUGCAUUACCAUGGCAGACCUCAAACUGAGAGAUGCUGGGAAGCCUAAGACCAGAGGCCGACCUCUGUUCCAUCUCUCCAGAGCAAGACAAAGGGCUGCCCUCCUGCAGCUGAUCGGGAGUGUCCAGCCCUCUGUCUCCAGCUGGGGACAAACCAUUUAUCACUUCGCAUGCACAGGCCCUUUUCUCCAAGGGUGAAUGGGGACCCUGGGCUGCCAUUGUCUCUUUGCAGGAGGUUUCUGACAGUGGCCUGAAAGCCAGGAGUGAUGGAUGGGAAGGGGGAUAGACAUUGGGAGAAGGCUGCAGGGGAAGAAAGCUGCUUCGGGUGAGGGGGUCAUGGGCAGCUCCUCUGGGGACAGGUUUCCACUGUGGGCUCACCCAACACCGCUGAAUGUUCCUCCUCAGGGACAACUACUGGUCCUGUGCCCUUUGCAGCAUCUGAAAUGAAGACACAGGCUGGGACACAGGCAGAACCAGUUAUUGCUCCAGGAGACAGAACUUAUCGAUCCUCCCCAAGACCUGCAUGGACAUCGCCGCUGCUCUCAGUGAUGACUGAUGAUAGCAGACAGAUCUAGGGACAAGAGUGGUCCCAGAGGCUACCGAAGCAGGGCAGCAUUGCAAAACUGCACCCAGCAGUCUUGUAUUAACAAGGCAGCCAUGGCAGCACUGUAGCUUCUGCCCUCUGGGCUUCUGUUGGAAGUGGAAGCCCACUCAACGUGUGGCAUACUCACGGCUUGUCCUUCCUGCCCCCUCUUUUAGACCACUAAGGUCUUCAGCUCACUCCUUCCAUCCCCUUAAUACCAGGUGUGCUGGCACUCUGACCUGGAGAGAGGACAUGACUCCAGGGACCUAGGGAAAUAAGAAUGAACCUUUAGUCUCUGUACUUACUGUAAGUGCGAUUCUGGUGUGUGUUUUUAAAAUAAAUGUAUUAUACUAUACCUCUCUGCGACAUGUUUCCUAGGUCAACCUCCUUUCUCCAACUCCUUCUCAGCUGGCCACAGAGAAAGCGAGGCUGUAAGAUAUGUGUCAGCCUCAGCUACUGUGCACAUAUGGAAAACCUGUGGGAAGGUUUCUAUCGCCUGCUUCCUCAGGUCUCUGACCAGCCAGCAAGGAAUCCGGCUUCCUGGGAUCCAGCGCUGGUGGCUGGAAACCGAGGCAGUCCAGGAUCAUUUUCUGAUCCUUGCGAACGUGGGCUGGACUAGCCAAGAGCACGUGUGUGAACAGCAAGGAGUCAGGAUCCAGGGAUGGGGGCUCUGAUGGCCCCCCAUUUCCCCUAGCACGGAAACUAAGCGCUUCCAUGGGAUAAGAGCUUCCCAGUCAUGCAGCCUUUGGAGAGAAAGGAUGAGUCUAAGCACAGAGGUGCUGAGGAGAACCCGCAGCACAAGGAGGACAGGUAAACAGGAUGGAAAUCCUAGCGCAAUUUCCUGCAGCUCAUGCCACGACCUAGAGACUCUGGUGGCUUUGCGUGCGCCUUGGUUUAUUUGUGGUUUGCAUUGAAUGGAGUUGGCCGCGUUCAGCCCUAAGUCCAGCUGUAUGAUUACUCAUUUCCAUGUUCAUUUAAUCAUUUUUAAUAGCCUCUGCUGGGUCACGGAAUCAAUUCAUGAGCUUUUAUUGUAAACCGUCCCCUCCACUUAAUGUGCUCCAGGUUUCUGUAUUAACAGUGAACGAGAGCCGAGAGUCAAAGGUGGCUUGAGACAAGCCUGGGAGCUGGAAGUUGAAAUGCUCAGGGGUGAAGCAUAUGCUCACAUAGUUAACCAAGUGAGUUAACUAUCAUUAUCAGUUGUUAAUGUGCCAUUGACUUGAUCUGGCUGCUGACAUCUAGCCUUCCCAGAGUGACAGUAAAGCCACAGCUUGCAAGGUUUCCCUCACAGCUGCCAAAGGCCAAAAAGCUAUCUCGGGUUUGUCUUUUAAAAUGCAAUUAGGGGUUAGCCACCAGCAUUCCUCAGAAAAGGGAGUCUUCAGCAGCCAGGCUGCAAAAUAGCUGCAGUUUCUGUGUCCAGAGCCAGGCUGAGCGGGGAGGUGAUGCAGGUACUUAAUUAGGAGGAUUGCUUAAAUACCUUCCCUAUAGCCACCUCGCUGUGCCUAGCCAGAUCAGAGGGAGGUGAAACCAGGAGGGGCUGUGAACUCGGCAGAGCAUUGCAAAACGAGCUGGUGAGAAAAAAACAGGGGAAGGAUCUUGUGGAGUGAGAGAUUCAGCCAGGAGGGUGGGAAAUGUGAUUUGCAUUUGGUAACUACAAACACACAUAGCCUGGGGUAGAGGAGAGGAGCCACAAUAGCUAGGAAUGCCCCGGGGAGAUGUCAUGAUCCCCUCCUAGAGAGGUCCCAUUUGAAUUUCUGCCUGGGAAAAGGCAGGGUCAAGUGCUGAAUAUGCAGAGUCCUCUCCUUUCCUCGCUUCUUGCAUCUUGACUGCAAGCCCAACAGGGAAGAGCUGGGAAAGGACUGGAGGGGUCAAUCAGCAGCGAGGACCUUGGGCUCCGUUUGUGUCCUGCAGGAAAUUGGAAAGCACUGUAAUUAGUCGAAGGGGCAAAGGGUCAGGCUGGCGGGAAGGACGAUGGUGGGGAGGUGACAGUUCAGUGACAAUGCUGAGUGGGAAGUGGUGUAAUCUGGGCCCAUACCUGGAUUUACCGGGCUUGAGAGAUCUGCUGGACUGGAAGAGUCUCCUAGAGCAAGGCAGUCAGCAUCCAACGAUGGAUCCAGAUGGAAUAAACCCUGUGCUUGGCCCUAAGGGUUGAGGAGAUCCAUCUGACUGGAUGCAUUUUCUCUCUCUAACCCUGCUUGGACAGAAAAGCCAGCAGGAAGGUGCCAGCGGAACACAGAGCUCCUUCCCACAGCCCGGGUUAGCACAAGCACCCUCUGAGGUAAAAAGAUGGGAAAACUCGGACCCUGAUAUCACCUUCCAGUGGCUUCCAGCACCAGUCAGUGCAACACUCUGCCAGAGAAAUCGGUGCAAGAAGGCUUUUCUCCAACCCUCUACACCUUUCCUUCCACCCUAAACAUCUCCAGCUCUGACAGAUAGCCCUUCAGGACCUGAAUAAACCUGGGCAAGGACAGUAGCAGUGUCCCUGAAACCGAGAGCAUCUCUGUAACAAUUGUGGCUUUGCAGCCCUUCAGACACUUCCUCAUGCGUUUCUUUUGCCCUGCUUUCACAAUCGGUCCUCUCCAGACUGCGGUAGGCUGCUGUCAUUACCCUCUGCUUCACGAACCCUCGCCGGGCUCGCUGCUAAUGUGACAGCUCUACCUCUUUGACUUUCCUGUCAUUAGCCAUUUUUCCUGAUGUUUUGUGGCUUUUUGUUUAUCUGUCUCUCUGGAAAUGAGACUCCCCGGAGCUGAAUUCUCCAUGGCCAUGGCAGAAGUCUUUCACUUUCUGGUGCUAUGGGAGAGAUGGCUGUGAAAAUGGCUUGUGUAUAGAAGAAAACCAUCCCUCUUCAUGAAAUGUGGUGAGAACCAGGCAAAGGCUUUGCUCUGAAAAGCCUCCGCUUGGUUACUGCUUGACUUUUAAUUGGGGUUUGAAAGGAGUAACGCUGGUAUGAAUGUGAUCGUUCCCUGCUGGUUAGACUCGUGCAGAAAAUGAAGUCUGGAGAAAGGCGAGUGAUUUUCAUGGACUCUUUUGACUUUGCUGCUAAAGCAGGGAUUUUUUUUUUUUCCUUUUAUUUCUCUAUUCAUUGAGGGAUGCUGCAUAACUUACUCCAGGAGGAUAAUCUGAGCAAGGGCAACAAACUGUUGGUAAUCAAGUAAGCGUUUUGGAGGAAGAAUGACUCUGUGUUCAAGAACAUGUUGCGAUAUUUCUUCCCUACAGCCCUGGAUUGCA